rnacentral:rRNA from 2 species
AAUUAACGCUGGCGGCAUGCCUAACACAUGCAAGUCGCACGAGAAAGCCCGGUUCGCCGGGCGAGUAAAGUGGCGCACGGGUGAGUAACGCGUGGAUAAUCUACCUCGUUCUGGGGGAUAACCCAUCGAAAGGUGGGCUAAUACCGCAUAAUCCGGCUGAAUCGCGGUUUGGUCGGCAAAGGUGGCCUCUUCAUGAAAGCUACCGGGAAGAGAUGAGUCCGCGUCCCAUUAGCUUGUUGGUAGGGUAACGGCCUACCAAGGCGACGAUGGGUAGCUGGUCUGAGAGGACGAUCAGCCACACUGGAACUGGUACACGGUCCAGACUCCUACGGGAGGCAGCAGUGAGGAAUAUUGCGCAAUGGGGGAAACCCUGACGCAGCGAUGCCGCGUGGGUGAAGAAGGCCUUCGGGUCGUAAAGCCCUGUCAAGUGGGAAGAACAGCCUUGGGGCUAAUAUCUCCAGGGUGUGACGGUACCACUGAAGGAAGCACCGGCUAACUCCGUGC